rnacentral:rRNA from 1 species
CAGGACGAACGCUGGCGGCGUGCCUAACACAUGCAAGUCGGACGAAGCAUAGUAAUAUGCUUAGUGGCGGACGGGUGAGUAACGCGUGAACAAUCUGCCCUAUACAAAGGAAUAGCCUCGGGAAACUGGGAUUAAAACCAUAUAACACUUUAGUACCGCAUGGUACAGAAGUCAAAUUGAUUAAGAGGUAUAGGAUGAGUUCGCGUCUGAUUAGCUAGUUGGUAAGGUAACGGCUUACCAAGGCGACGAUCAGUAGCCGGCCUGAGAGGGUGAACGGCCACACUGGAACUGAGACACGGUCCAGACUCCUACGGGAGGCAGCAGUGGGGAAUAUUGCACAAUGGAGGAAACUCUGAUGCCAGCGACGCCGCGUGAGUGAAGAAGGUCUUCGGAUCGUAAAACUCUGUCCUUGGUGAAGAUAAUGACGGUAGCCAAGGAGGAAGCCCCGGCUAACUACGUGCCAGCAGCCGC